UUUCACCAGCAAUAAUUGAACCCCUAAGAUUUUAUAUUUGCACCCAGACCCCCAACUGACUCCUCUCUCUCACACACUCUGAUACUCACGCUCUCACCCUCUCACGAAUCACAUUCACGCUCACCCUCAUCACGGCACGGCGGCACCACCACCGGCCACCACCACGCCACGGCCACGCCACCACCAGUCCAGUUCUCCUUUCUCUUCUAAAGCUUGAUUUUCCCAAGCAACCAUGAAUAUGAUUUCCCCUAAAUCUGGAAUCCCUAAUCCUAAAUCCUAAAAUUGUCAUACUCACUCAGUCAUAGAGUCUCCUCUCCACCUUGGCUUGUAAUUCUAAAUCCUAUUCCUAAUCCUUCAAACCUCGCCUUGCCUUCCCUUCGUAUGCAGGGCACGUGCGUAACCGUGACAAGGCAAGCAAACCAGGCGCCAUCGCCACAAGCCCACUUGUGGACUCGAGCCGUCAGGGGAACAUAGCAAGAAGUUCAAAAUGUUAACUUUUAAAGUUUUAAUCACCAAGUCAUGUUGGCCGUUACUCUUUGUUGUUAGACCUCAAGUUUUAGCAUUAAUUGGCUUCUCAUGGCCGUCGCCUUAGUUUUUCUACUUAAAGACACACUUAGCUCGGUGUCUUGUGGACUGGGCGAGACCCCAGGGUCCCUCGCCCUGGAGCACCAGCUCAGGACGACGAGCGGACCUGGGAGGAGGCCCAACCGGCCCAAUAGGAAGGGUUAGAGGCGUCAAACCCAACUCCACAUCUAUAAAUAGGGGAUGAAUACCAAUUGUAAAGGACUCUUUUCUCAUUUGAGAAAUAACAAGGUUGAAAUUCAGUUA